rfam:Methanobacteriaceae archaeon 41_258 PW_scaffold_60, whole genome shotgun sequence.
GGGCCCGUGGCUCAGCUUGGUUAGAGCGCACGGCUGAUAACCGUGAGGUCCUGGGUUCAAAUCCCAGCGGGCCCA